AAGUCGUAACAAGGUUUCCGUAGGUGAACCUGCGGAAGGAUCAUUAUUGAAUGAACGUUAGAGUUGGUUGUUGCUGGCCCUCUCUGGGCAUGUGCACACCUUCUCUUUCAUCCACACAACACACCUGUGCACUUGUGAGAUGGAAAACGCACCCGCUUGAGGUGGGGGUCUCCAUCUGCUCUACAUAAAACCCCGUGCAUACAUAUAAAUCGAAUGUGAUCGAUGUGGCGAACGCAUCUAUUAAAUUAAACCAAGUUUCAACAACGGAUCUCUUGGCUCUCGCAUCGAUGAAGAACGCAGCGAAAUGUGAUAAGUAAUGUGAAUUGCAGAAUUCAGUGAAUCAUCGAAUCUUUGAACGCACCUUGCGCUCCUUGGUAUUCCUUGGAGCAUGCCUGUUUGAGUAUCAUGAAACCCUCAAAGUAAAUCUUUUGUUCAUUCGAUUGAUUUUAUUUUGGACUUGGAGGUCUUGCAGAAUCCAUGUCUGCUCCUCUCAAAAGCAUUAGCUGGAUCCUCUGUGAGCUUGGUUCCACUCAGUGUGAUAAGUAUCACUCGCUGAGGACACUGUAAACAGUGGCUGGGAUUGCAGAUGAACCGCUUCUAAUCGUCUACUAGUUUAUUAGACAAUUGAACUUCACGAUUUGAUCUCAAAUCAGGUAGGACUACCCGCUGAACUUAA
rnacentral:misc_RNA from 1 species